rnacentral:rRNA from 1 species
GGACCCGCACAAGCAGUGGAGCAUGUGGUUUAAUUCGACGCAACGCGAAGAACCUUACCAGCGUUUGACAUGAGAAGUGCCGGUUACAGAAUGGUAACCUUCAGUUCGGCUGGCUUCUACACAGGUGCUGCAUGGCUGUCGUCAGCUCGUGUCGUGAGAUGUUGGGUUAAGUCCCGCAACGAGCGCAACCCUCAUCCUUAGUUGCCAUCAGUUCGGCUGGGCACUCUAAGGAAACUGCCGGUGACAAGCCGGAGGAAGGUGGGGAUGACGUCAAGUCCUCAUGGCCCUUACGGGCUGGGCUACACACGUGCUACAAUGGCAAUGACAGUGGGUUAAUCCCAAAAAGCCAUCUCAGUUCGGAUUGGGGUCUGCAACUCGACCCCAUGAAGUCGGAAUC